UUUCGGUUGGUCGUCAUGCCUUUUUCAUCCAUCUAUCGGUGUCAGUGGAGAAUCUUUAGGCUGUCGGUAGGUGGCUAAAAUGGAUUGUCCCCCAGCCACCAGGUGACGCGAAUGCCGUUCUGAGGAUGACGCUUCCGAGACACACAUAGCAGACGCCAACCCAUCAAGCGUCAUCAAUAGCGUGGUCUACUAUGGUGCAACGCUAUCGCUGGAGUAAGGCGUUUAUCUUCAAUUCGGGUAGCGUCAUGAUUGGCCUACCCUGAUGGCGUCAUGAUCGCUGCUGAUUGCCUUUCAAAAUGGUUUUCAGCAUUCUGCUUACACCUUUGGCAUAGAGUCACGCUGAGAUCAGUGUCGGAGAUGAUGGUUACGAACAACCCAUGGAAAGCUUAUCUUUCAUUGAUGCUGUGAUGCCUGAUGUUGUUACAAGUCGUCAACAGCAAAUGCAGAACAAUCAAAAACCACAAGUGGUAAAGACAGAACCACCAAAUUCCAAUGGAGAUGAACCCAUGCAUUCAUAUCGUGUGUUACAGUGGCCCACAGCUAAAGGAGCAGCAGCAGCGAUUUCUACUCAAUUUAGUGAGACGUUGGCCUCACUCUGGCCAACCAGAACAGCUGGCUUUGCUGGCCCCCCUCCUUGGGGGUGCGUUGGGAGGUGAAUAUAAUCAUCCUGUAAAAAAAAAUAGAAUUUGCCUCCCCUUGUUCCACGUGAAUACAAUUUUCAAGGUUGUCGGUGUCAAUCAUGAU